CCCUUAGAUGUUCUGGGCCGCACGCGCGCUACACUGAUUCAUGCAACAAGUUUUGUCCUUGGCUGAUAGGUCUGGGUAAUCUUUGAACGUGAAUCGUGAUGGGGAUAGAUGAUUGCAAUUAUUCAUCUUCAACGAGGAAUUCCUAGUAAACGCAAGUCAUCAGCUUGCAUUGAUUACGUCCCUGCCCUUUGUACACACCGCCCGUCGCACCUACCGAUUGAAUGGUCCGGUGAAAUCUUCGGAUCUGAGAGAUGUCUGAUUAAUUUCGGACGCCUUUUGGAAAAGUUGUUUAAACCUUACCAUUUAGAGGAAGGUGAAGUCGUAACA
rnacentral:rRNA from 1 species